rnacentral:rRNA from 1 species
GAUGAACGCUGGCGGCGUGCCUAAUACAUGCAAGUCGAGCGAAGCGGGGACGGGUGAGUAAUACGUGGAUAACCUCCUAUAAGACUGGGAUAACUCCGGGAAACGGGAGCUAAACCGGAUACUUAUCGGUGGGUCCGCGCUGCAGUAGCUAGUUGGUAAGGUAACGGCUUACCAAGGCAACGAUGCCUAGCCGGGCUGAGAGGGUGAUCGGCCACACGGGAACUGAGACACGGUCCAGACGCCUACGGGAGGCAGCAGUAGGGAAGCUUGCGCAAUGGGCGAAAGCCUGACGGAGCAAUGCCGCGUGAGUGAUGAAGGGCUUCGGAUCGUAAAGCUCUGUUAUUAGGGAGGCGGUACCUAAACAAGAAGCCCCGGCUAACUACGUGCCAGCAGCCGCGGUAAUAC